rnacentral:rRNA from 1 species
CCUACGGGAGGCAGCAGUGAGGAAUAUUGGUCAAUGGGCGAGAGCCUGAACCAGCCAAGUCGCGUGAGUGAGUACUGCCCUAUGGGUUGUAAACAUCUUUUAAGGGGGAAGAGCAGAAGACGGUACCCCUUGAAUAAGCUACGGCUACGUACGUGCCAGCAGCCGCGGUAAUACGUAGGUGGCAAGCGUUGUCCGGAUUUACUGGGUGUAAAGGGCGUGCAGCCGGAGUGACAAGUCAGAUGUGAAAUCCACGGGCGCAACCCGGGAACUGCAUUUGAACCUGGUUCACUUGAGUGUCGGAGAGGUAAUCGGAAGUCCUGGUGUAGCGGUGAAAUGCGUAGAUAUAAGGAAGAACACCAGUGGCGAAGGCGGAUUACUGGACGAUAACUGACGGUGAGGCGCGAAAGCGUGGGGAGCAAACAGGAUUAGAUACCCGGGUAGUC